AUUGAACGCUGGCGGCAGGCCUAACACAUGCAAGUCGAACGAGUGGCGGACGGGUGAGUAAUGUCUGGGAAACUGCCUGAUGGAGGGGGAUAACUACUGGAAACGGUAGCUAAUACCGCAUACCAUCCGAUUUGCCCAGAUGGGAUUAGCUAGUAGGUGGGGUAAAGGCUCACCUAGGCGACGAUCCCUAGCUGGUCUGCGAGGAUGACCGGCCACACUGGAACGGAGACACGGUCCAGACUCCUACGGGAGGCAGAAGUGGGGAAUAUUGCACAAUGGGCGAAAGCCUGAGGCAGCAAUGCCGCGUGUAUGAAGAAGGCCUUGGGGUGGUAAAGUACUUUCAGCGGGGAGGCGUUACCCGCAGAAGAAGCACCGGCUAACUCCGUGCCAGCAGCCGCGGUAAUUC
rnacentral:rRNA from 1 species